CUGGGAAGGAGCCUGGGAGGGAGUACGGGAGGGUGCAUGAGAGGGAGCCUGGGCAGGAGUACAACAGGGAGCCCCGGAGGGAGCAUGGGAGGAAACAUGAGAAGGAGCACAGGUGGGCAGCAGGCAAUGGCGCCAGCCCAGGACACCCGCCAGCCCAGGACACACGCCCUCCCGUCCUUCCGGUUCUUCAGCAGGAAGAGGUCCGCCCCAACCACCACAGGCUCCUGUAUUACCAGAGGGACCAAACAGGAAAGCACAAUGAUGAACAGCUGAAGGCGGGCCACCAUUAUAAUCAGUGUUAUAAAAACACCGCCUUGGCCCCCGGCAUGGCUCCCCCACCCAACCAGUUGGAUCCAGC